rnacentral:tRNA from 1 species
GCCGGCCCGGCUCAAUUGGUAGAGCAAAUGACUUGUAAUCAUUAGGGUGGGGGCUCAAGUCCUCUGGUCUGCACCA